rnacentral:rRNA from 1 species
UACGGAGGAUGCAAGCGUUAUCCGGAUUCAUUGGGUUUAAAGGGUGCGUAGGCGGCCUUUUAAGUCAGUGGUGAAAUCCUGCCGCUUAACGGUAGAAUUGCCAUUGAUACUGAAAGGCUUGAGUCCAGUUGAGGUAAGCGGAAUGUGUAGUGUAGCGGUGAAAUGCUUAGAUAUUACACAGAACACCAAUUGCGAAGGCAGCUUACUAAACUGGCACUGACGCUGAUGCACGAAAGCGUGGGGAGCGAACAGGAUUAGAUACCCUGGUAGUCCACGCCGUAAACGAUGCUCACUCGCUGUUUGCGAUACACAGCAAGCGGCCAAGCGAAAGCAUUAAGUGAGCCACCUGGGGAGUACGAUCGCAAGGUUG